rnacentral:lncRNA from 1 species
GGGUGAGCCCACACUGCAGAGGCUGAGGUGGACACCAGCUCUUGGGUAUGCACUCACCCCUCUCUCUCACUCACUGAUGCUUUUUGCUACACCAUAUGCAGUGUGGGACGAUGAAAGGCUGUGCCCUGGCAUCUGGAAAGUUUGCUGCUGUGCGAUGCUCAGCCUGGGCUGGGUGGUGCCACACCUUCACCACAGGAAGUUCAGCAGAAGUUAACGUCUAAACCUUUGCUCUGCUAGAAAUAACUGUUGAAAUAGCACUUCAUUGCUGCCAGCUGGAAAUCAAAUUCUCUGCAAUAAAAGACAGUUUAUUUGGAGAUGGG